GACGAACGCUGGCGGCGUGCUUAACACAUGCAAGUCGAGCGGUAAGGCUCCUUCGGGAGUACACGAGCGGCGAACGGGUGAGUAACACGUGAGCAACCUGCCCUUCUCAUCGGAAUAAGCGUUGGAAACGACGUCUAAUGCCGAAUAUGACCUCCUUUCGCAUGAUCGGAGGUGGAAAGCUCCGGCGGAGAAGGAUGGGCUCGCGGCCUAUCAGCUUGUUGGUGGGGUAACGGCCCACCAAGGCGACGACGGGUAGCCGGCCUGAGAGGGUGACCGGCCACACUGGGACUGAGACACGGCCCAGACUCCUACGGGAGGCAGCAGUGGGGAAUAUUGGACAAUGGGCGUAAGCCUGAUGGAGCGACACCGCGUGAAGGAAGAAGGUCUAACGAUUGUAAACUUCUUUUCUGGAGGAGCAUAAUGAGAGUACUUCAGGAAUAAGGAACGGCUAAUCACGUGCCAGCCGCCGCAGUAA
rnacentral:rRNA from 1 species